GACGGGGGGGGCAAGUGUUCUUCGGAAUGACUGGGCGUAAAGCGCACGUAGGCGGCUUUGUAAGUUAGAGGUGAAAGCCUGGGGCUCAACUCCAGAAUUGCCUUUAAGACUGCAUCGCUUGAACGUCGGAGAGGUGAGUGGAAUUCCGAGUGUAGAGGUGAAAUUCGUAGAUAUUCGGAAGAACACCAGUGGCGAAGGCGGCUCACUGGACGACUGUUGACGCUGAGGUGCGAAAGCGUGGGGAGCAAACAGG
rnacentral:rRNA from 1 species